CCGUGCGCGCCGCAGCCCCUCGCAGGCCGUGGCGGUUUGUGGGUGGGCUGUGCAGUCCUGGCGCUCUGAACGACCCGGAUGGCCCGCGCAGGCUGGCGCAGUGCCAGUGCGGUGGGUGUGGAGCCAAGGGAAGGCAUUGCCUCCUACUGCGGGAGGCCCGGGAGUCAAUUCUGCCGCCCACCUCGCGAAGACCGAGCCCUAAACUGCAAGUCGGUUCCCAGGGAAGCAGAGAAUGUACCCGGCACUGUGGUAGACAGCGGAGGAGGCACAGAUGGAAGGAUGGGGUGCCUGUCUGGCAGAGACCUUGAGGGUUUCCCUGCCCAGCUCCUGGGGAUGGAACCCAGGCCUCCUGCACACGGGGCAACUUCUCUACCCCAGGCCACACCUCCAGUAAACAUGCAGGGUGAAGUACACAUGCUUCCAGGGACAGCCAGGGUCUCCAGGUCCACCUGUAAACCACGGCGACACAGCAGGAGAUGACAGUAAUCCAGAGCUGAACACCAAUGGGAUGGUAUUAGAAAGUGGCCUUUGGAAGGUAUGGCCCCAUGGUCUUGAGGUCACAGAAAACUGAGACCAGAGUAUCUUCUUCAACCUUCCUCUCACCAGCAUCAUCAAUCAGGAUGUGAAUGGCCCAGAACUUCAUAUAGGCACAGCUCACAAAACUAGCUUUCCGGAUUGGGAAUAGAUUCUGGGACUGCGACACUCAGUUUGGAAUAUUGAGCUGCUUUCCUCGUGUUCAUCUGAGGUUCUUCAUGAACAACUAAAGGAGGAAUGAAAGGUCAAUCAAUCAGUCCAACCUCAGCAAGCUGGGUCCUCCCACCUGAAGAUCUAUAACUGUGCCAUUGAAAGAUGGGUUUGGGUGACUGUUAAUGUGUGCAGAACCACGGGGAAUCUUAAUUGUUUAUUUGAUUAGAUUUUUACGUUCAGCUCCACAUCAGCAAAUGCAGGCUCUCAUACACUUAAUUACAGCUCACCACAGAAACCUGCCUCUGAAGCUGCUGAUACAGAAAUUAAUCUAAAGACAGAAGACAGAGCAUAAAUAAAGAAAAUAAACAGACCCAUGGUUUUCACAUUGGUUUUCUCCUUGCUUGUUUACUUGUUGU